GCUGGACUGUGGUGGUUUUCACGUCUCAAAGCCAAUUGUGAGUGACGCCGUAGUGGAGGGCUCAGGACAUCUGACCAUCUGCUGUUCUUUAUCGUGCAUCUAGGUACACGGACUUCUACCAUUUCGCCCCCUACGAAAUGUAGUGCGACUGGACUGAACAUAUUUUCAUACUGGUCGCGGCGCGCGUGUACGCUUCGGGUGAUUUCAACGAGCGGUGUACUUGAAUACACAACAAAGAGGAACUACACAAGGGCACGGAGUGGUAUACACUGAGUGGUAUACUGCGGCAGACGGACAUCAGUGUCCAAACGCCAACAGUGUUGCGACCAUCAAGAUGCGAAAAGAAGGAAGGGGUACGGUGGACUCUCAAAGAUUCCCCUCCGGACAAAUCAAGCAUGCGAAACCCGCCGUGUGUGACAGUGGAACUGCAGGACUACAUAUGACCAGUACACAACAGUGGAUGUUUAUACGCCUCUCAAAGCUUGACGGAAUGCCACCAUGAAGUGGCAAAGAAGGAAGCUCAAAUCAACAACCACUCUUUCGUCCGUCUCUAGGCAAUUCCAAUGGUUCCUAAUUGCUUUCUAUUAUAUUUCGGUGCAUCUUUUGAUCACCAGUAAUUGAAAACCAAUAAACUGUUCGUUAAAAAGA